rnacentral:rRNA from 1 species
AGUGAACGCUGGCGGUAGGCCUAACACAUGCAAGUCGAACGGCAGCACAGUAAGAGCUUGCUCUUACGGGUGGCGAGUGGCGGACGGGUGAGGAAUACAUCGGAAUCUACUUUUUCGUGGGGGAUAACGUAGGGAAACUUACGCUAAUACCGCAUACGACCUACGGGUGAAAGCAGGGGAUCUUCGGACCUUGCGCGAUUGAAUGAGCCGAUGUCGGAUUAGCUAGUUGGCGGGGUAAAGGCCCACCAAGGCGACGAUCCGUAGCUGGACUGAGAGGAUGAUCAGCCACACUGGAACUGAGACACGGUCCAGACUCCUACGGGAGGCAGCAGUGUGGAAUAUUGGACAAUGGGCGCAAGCAUGAUCCAGCCAUACCGCGUGGGUGAAGAAGGCCUUCGGGUUGUAAAGCCCUUUUGUUGGGAAAGAAAAGCAGCAGGUUAAUACCCCGCUGUUCUGACGGUACCCAAAGAAUAAGCACCGGCUAACUUCGUG